UGCGUAGGUGGGUCUGUAAGUCAGUGGUGAAAUCUCCGGGCUUAACCCGGAAACUGCCAUUGAUACUAUAGGUCUUGAAUACUCUGGAGGUAAGCGGAAUAUGUCAUGUAGCGGUGAAGUGCUUAGAUAUGACAUAGAACACCAAUUGCGAAGGCAGCUUACUACGGGGUCAUUGACACUGAGGACGAAAGCGUGGGGGAUCGAAACA
rnacentral:rRNA from 1 species